AAAAAGAAAAGAAAAGAAAAAAUUGGGGGAACAGAUCUAGAAAAAGGAAAAAACCGUGCAGAAUUAAAGAAAGAGUUCCAAGACGAGAAUAAGCUGUUGGAGGAAGAGAUGGGGAGCUUCGUGAUGGAGUAAUGGGAGGAAAAGACAACGAUUAGCGGGGCUUCAACUUGAAGCACUUCUGGAAGAGAAAUCAAGAUCGCAAAAUAAGAAUGCCAAAUCUUCUUUCAGGGCUCCAGGGCAAGUCCCAAGUAGCAUGUUGAAUAUGCUAGAUUAUGAUUGUAAUCUGGCAACACUAUGGCAGAAAGAGUAGAAAGAAACAUGGUAAGGGGUAGAACAAGAGCAAAAUGGGGAGAAAAGAAGAAAAAAAUAUAAAAAAGAAAAAAAACAGAAAUAAGAAGAAAAAAAAGAGAAGGCAGAUCUGUGGAAAAAAAAGAAAAGAAAAAUUUGUGGAACAGAUCUAGAAAAGGGAAAAACAGAGAGCAGAAUCAAAGGAAGAUUUCCAAGAAAAUGUGAAAACAAUAGCCAGAGUAAGCUAUUGGAGGAAAAAAUGGGAAGUUUCAUGAUGGAGUAAUGGGAGGAAAGCAUGACGAUUUGGUUAGGCUUCAACUUGAAGCACUUCUGGAAGGGAAAUCAAGAGCUGAAAAUGAGAAUUCAAAGUUGAAUAGGGAAAACAAAUACCUGCAUCAACUAGUGGAGUACCCUCGCUCAACAGAUCCGAAAUAGCAUGGAAAUUAGGCUGCCAAAUCUUCUUUCAGGACUCCAGGACAAGAUGAACUUUCCAGGCUUGGUGAACAGAUGGUUCAUAGUUCCGAGGGUAAAAGAGCUUUAGCUCGGGUACUUUGCCAUGAACUUCACGACAAGUUCCUCCAGCAUGGUCUGAACUCAGGGAAUGGACAAACGAAGACAUGCUAUUUAAGCUUUACAGUUCUAUAAGUGCUCAAAGCAUGGCAAGAAUGGAAGUGCUUCUCUAGGAGGACCAUAAUGUCAAGCGGAGGAAAGAGCGUAUCCAGAAACAGUGCUCUAUUCUUUCCAAGCUUAUUACACAUCUCUAUAUUUAUUUUAAUCUGGCAUCCGCUGCAUUCACCUAUUCUAAUGCAGUAGAAAGUCCAUCCGUUGCUGGCCCAUCUUCCCGGGAGGUCUGGAGAUGCUGCGUUUGAUGCUGCUGCCAGCGGUCCAAACCCAUCAUAUGUGGAUUCUAGAUCAAUGGGCCCCAGCCGCUGGAACAGUGAUCCUUUUCAAAAUGGUAAUAUAAACCAUGGCUGCCGACGAACACCCUUGCGUUUGCCACCUGCUCCUCCAUCAUCUGCGUCUGUUUAUACAUUCUAAGGUAGAUGGAAUUUUGACAAAUCAAUUCUUGCAAUUCUUGAGGGAUGUUUCAUCAGUUUCUCGAGCUCGCAUCGAGCCCUAAAUCUUCUCCUUGGUUUGGUCUUUCGAGGACCAAUCAAUAUAGACAUUUUUGUGUGUAGAUGUCCGGUUUAUGUUGUACUUAUGUU